rnacentral:lncRNA from 1 species
CUCAGGACUUGGAGAAGAAACGGCUGCUGGACUUGGCGGGGAAUUUGCGCGGGGUUUUACUGAGCGGGAAGAGACUGUUCAAAUGAGGGGGAGGAGGACGCCA